rnacentral:tRNA from 2 species
GGAGAGGUGGCAGAGUGGUCUAUCGCACCGCACUCGAAAUGCGGAGUGUCGAAAGGCACCGUGGGUUCGAAUCCCACCCUCUCCGCCA